GUUGAAACACUAAUUCUCAUGCGAUCACCGAAGUUAAGCAACAUCGAGCAUGGUCAGUAUCUAGAUCGGUGACCGCUUGGAAAUAGCAGGUGCUGUAAU